rnacentral:miRNA from 8 species
GCUCAAAAUGGGGGUGCUUGCC